rnacentral:lncRNA from 1 species
GUCUCUCUCUGCUUCCUGAUCACCAUGUGAGCUGCUUCCCCUCACCACACUCUUCCGCCAUGAUGUCCUGCCUCACCUCCAGCCCCGAGGAAUGGAGCCGGCUGCCUAGGGACUGAGACCUCUGAAACCGCAAGCCUCCAAAUAAACUUUUCCUCCUUUAAAGUUGUUCUUUUCAGGUCUUUUAAUCACAGCAGUGAAAAAGCUGACUAAAACAAGCCCUUGGACUCUACCUGCCCAACACCAUGGUGCUAUGAGAUCUGGAGGUCAGGAAGUCCCGAGGUACCCAAGAAGUAGCUCCGUCCUCCCAUGGAGGCAUCAAAAAGACCAUUCUCAGAUGCUGCUUCAACAGCAGGAAGAACCCCAGCUUGGUCCUGGUGGACUGCCUGCCUCUCAAGUUGCUUCUGCUCUCGGGCCUCAGUUUCCCCAUCUCUAAGGAAAAGUGCUGGGCUGGAUUCUCUCUCCACGCUCCUGGUGCCAAGCUUUCCUGGAGGGCACAGGAGCUGCAUCCAGCAGCAGAGACUCCCAAAUAAACCAGCAGUGAGAAGGCUGCCUGUGACAAGCGAGAAAGUGCCCCCAGGGUCAUCGAGAUGAGGCGUCCCUGCCCCCCCUGCAGAACCUGCUAGAGAAGAGGUGGGGAUUUGGGCCAGAAGGGGAGGUGCAGGGGCAGGAGAAGGGGUGAGCCCUACGGUGAGCAGAUCCGUGAGCUGGGAGUGGUCAGAAGUGGAGCUCAAUGCCAAGAAGCAGACCAGGGGCUUGAGGUCAGUUCUGGAGGAAGGGCCAAGGCGGCCCAAACCCAUCGCCCUUGAGGCCAAGGUAGGAGGGUGGACAAGUGGUUCCAGUUGCGCAGAGGGGCUGUGUGCUCACUUCCUGCAGGAACAAUUUCAACUCUCCAUCAGCAGAAACGCCUGCCUGCGCAGUUCUGGAGGCCAGGAGUGCGACCUGGAGCAACAGGGCAGUGCUCCCUCCCAGGCUCCGGGGGACCCCCGGCCCCACAAGCUCGUGGUGUUUGCUGAUGAUCUUUAUGGGUCCUUGGCUCGUAGACACCUCACUGGCAGAGAGACUGGCCUUCUCGGAGGCCACCUGGCUGCAUAUCUUCUCUGAGCAGAGAGUGACCUGAGAGGCCACCCUACACCAGGCUCUGGGGCUCAGCAACUGGGUGGGGUGAGGUUCUGGUCUUUGUGGGCAUGCUGGAGCCAUCUUUGAACCCCACACUUUUCUGUCUUGCUGAGAGCCAUAGCCGGAAUGACGCAUGGCAUUGUUGCUAGAAUGGAGUGGUUGAGAGGUGACGACGCCAGCAAGCCAUUGAGAUGAUGAUGGUUAUGUUAAGCUGUGUAUUCAAUUGUAUAUUAGACCCCUGCUGUACACCUCAGGCCCACCGGCUACUUUGGAGUUCUCCCGCUACUUUGGAGUUCUCACAGGGAUUCCUGGGGAGUUCGCAGUUGGUUGGGGAAGUGCCGGAGGAGGGAUUUCCGGUUGGUGGGUGGUGAAUCCAGGGGGAAGGCCGUCUGCGUGGCUUUCGAG